AACUUCUACAGUGCACUACAGUAAAGUUUUAGACAAAUUCCCAAAAAACUCAGGUUCCAAACAGGCCCUUAGUUCUGAAGAAUCUUAAUCCAUGAAAAAUAGAACUUAUUAGUCUUCUUUCUCAAGGUAUGUGUCCCUAGAUUCAUUUGGAUUUACAAAGCUUUCUUGCUAAAUGGUUAAGGAGAGGAACUACUAAAGGUUUCAGAUGUUCUGUUUGUUAUAGUCAGUUUAGAUCAUUGAGAAUUUUCAAAGCUGAAAAUAAAAUUCAGUUUGUUUCUCAAAAAAUUAGACCUUGUAUGUGCUAUAAUUAUCCCUGUGAAAGUUACAUUUUGUGGCUGUUUAUAUAUUGCAUACUGUAUCCUUAAUUAAAUCGUGUAUUUGGUAGAAGGGCAGACUCUGAGAGAUUAAUUUUAGGAGACUGCAGUGUAUAUUUGAUGUGACAGUCUCUUUUACUAGAGUCAAAUGGAGUCAUACUUUGUCCUCCAUAUCUGGAUAUUCUUUUGCGUGAAGGUUUACGUGUGGAAUAGUAGGAAGAAGGCAUUUGUGGAAAGAAUUGGCAAACUUUAUUAAUCUAUGAUCUGAUAAGUUUCAGUAUAUGAGUACGUAAAUAAGAUAAGAUCUUUUUGAAAAGCUUUAUGAAAAAGGUAAUCACUGCAGAUCUUACUUUCCUUUAAUGACAAAAAAGUGUUUUCUGAACGGUUCUUUUGUUACAAGGUAUAUCUAAUAGUUGCUGUUAACAUCCCAUUUCAUUACUUUGAUUCAUUUAUUACAUUUUGUGCCUUUGCAAAAAAGUUGAUUAGACUCGUAUAUUGACUAGACUUCAACAGAUCAAAGGUGAUUGUAAAGUUCUGCAAUUGUUUACAUCUAACAAAAGAGUAUUAUGAUCAUGGAGCUUUUCUAAUAGGUGAGACAACGCUCGCCAGUUAACAAUCAACACCUUAUUGGUCUUGCUCACAUGCCACUUCUGGACUCUUAGAUUUAGUAAAAGGAGGUACUUAGCUUUUGACAGGAGGAGUGUUUGGAAAGCGGUAUUAUGUUUUUAAUAUUGGAGUUUAUCUCUAUUGAUGUCAAAGUAUUGAUAUGUUAAUGUUCAUUGGCAUUUCAUACAUAUAGUCAUAUUCAUACGUACAGUGCAGUCCUGAGGAAGUUAGAUGCUCCAUUGAUGCCUGUUGAGUCAAUCGAGAACCACAACCAAGGUGAAAAACCUGGUAUUUAUAUUCAAAAUUUCCUUCAUUCAUGCACUCUGCCUGUCAAUUCACAUCUUCUCCCCAACCUUAGAUAUACAGACGCGUCUAGAAAGGUAAGAAGGCUGUCAGGGUUUGCAUAAUGUCCCAUCAUAUCUUUUAAAAGUGCUGUGGUCGAUUUUGAUUUCAGUGUCGAAGCCUUGUCUUAUUCAUCUAGGGAUAUGUUUUAUCCAAUAAAUGGACAGAAUGGUGCUGUUCUAGAUUACUGCUAAUCUCGCUUCAACUGGUAAAUCAUGAACUUUGCAAUAAUGCAGAUUUUGUAAGCUCAUUUGCUUCCUUCUAAUACUAUAGUAGCCGUCCUCUUUAAGCACGUACUUUUGUCCAUUGAUCAUUGUGCUUUCUAGGGUUAUUCAAUUGUUGUCCCUGUGUUGCUGCAGCAGAGAGCUUGAAGGUUGUCUUGUCAUUGCACUAGGAUGCUUAAUGCUGAAGUUAGUCUUGAAAAUUCCCCGGCAUUAGCAAGGAGAUGAAUUGCCUGGUGAAUGUGCCAAGUUCCAGCAGAAUUUUGCCGGGCCAAGGGCUUUUGCGGUUGCAGGUGCAGAGAGCAAUUUGCAAACCCUGAUCAGGCCACGGUUGAUGUUGUCUAGAUCUAGAGCAGAAAGCAAAUUUCAGAAUUUCUUGUUUUUUCAGCAAAAGCCAGACCAAAUCAGCUGGGUUGCUAUAGUCCCCCCUUAGGUUUACGUAGAUUGGCAAUCACAGACUGAUUGUAGUGUCUGUAUGCAAGCAGCAUAUUCAGAUUACAGGACAAAAUUCAUCAAGAAAUCAUGGCACAUAGCUAACUUUGAUACUCCAAAAACUUCUUGUGGAUUCAUGUAAUGUUGCAAGGACUAAUCACAGCACGUAGCUAAGUUUUGUUCUGUGUC